UCCUCGAUCUGCUGCGGGCAGAUGAAGUGGAUGUGCGCGUCGAAACCGCCGGCGGUGAGGAUCUUCCCCUCGCCGGCGAUGGCCUCCGUGCCCGGGCCGAUGACGAUGUCGACGCCGGGCUGGGUGUCCGGAUUGCCGGCCUUGCCGAUGCCGGCGAUGCGGCCGUCGCGGAUACCCACAUCGGCCUUGAUGAUACCGGUAUGGUCGAUGAUCAGCGCGUUGGUGAUCACCGUGUCGACAGCGCCCUCGGCGCGGCUGACCUGCGACUGGCCCAUGCCGUCGCGGA
rnacentral:sRNA from 1 species